rnacentral:lncRNA from 10 species
CGGAGGAGUAGCUCUGUGUCAAGCUUAGGGGACUGGAAGAGGCCGCAACCUUCCGCCUGCUGGAGGGUGGAGGAUGGAUGGAGCCUGGAGCCUAGGUCACUACCUUGCUGUGGUUGGUGGUGGCGAUAGAGCAGUAGGAGAGCGGUCAGCAGCAGGAGGACUAGAAGGAAGAGGUACUGCCACAUGCUGGAGGCUGGAACCUGUGCCACCAUGGCUCGCCUCGCUGUGGUUGGUGGUAACGUCGGAGACUGCAGCUCAGCCACGGUGGUAGACAUGUGAUGGGCUGCUCCAAGCCAGGCUGAAGGAGGAGAAGGAGUUGCCGCCUGUGGUACGGUCGAGCAGAUGACGUGGCUCUGCAGCUUGCCUCAUGCAGUUGGUGUUGGAGAUGGAGACCACAGCUCGACUGGAGCGGUAGGAGGGCACCCACGGGGGCCUGGUGGUAGGAUCCUG